CAAGGGAGGUGCUGCUCACCACAGGGAAUAAAGGAAGGCUGGGUAAAGGGAGGGUUGGGUGUAGGUGCGCACAUCACAAUGCCAGCAGCUCCACUUACCAAGCCUUUCCUAAGCAUCAGGUGCGAGAUGCGCAUGGCCUUGCCUAAUGUGCACUACUGACCCACAAGGCAGGUGUAACUAUUACUGUCCGGACAUCCAGAGGAAGAAAUGGAAAUGCAGAGGUAUCAUGUAUCUAACUCAAACCUGUGCCAGCCUGGUCGACUCUUCAUAGGCCCAUUCGGAGGGAGGCUGGUUAAGGUAGGCAGGGAUUGCCUUUCAGUGAAGAUGACAUCCCAUCUCCUUCCUCCUCGUCUAUGAGACUCGGGCUUCCCCCGCCCUCAUUUUCCCACCCAGAGCUCAUGGCUAGCCCUCUGGGGCAGGAGAACACACUGCUCAAGCCUUGGACUCAGCCGGCUCCACGUGAUGAGUGAGUGCAGCAGAUGCUGUGAGAUGCAAAAGCCUAAUUUUGCUGCAAACAUAUUGUUUCUGAAGGAAAGGCUUAUAUCAAGAGGCUAUAAAACUGCACCCGUGAUAAAAGGCUACUGACAAAGCUGUCUAGUGAUGGGGGUGGGAGAGCAGCUGUGCCCGCAACACAGUGGCCAUUGAAGAAACCGCCUUGGCUUUCCUCCCUCCGAAUUUGCCGUUUCAUCUGAGGCAUGCCUGUGAAGAAGUCAGCACCGCUGAAGACCAGUGUUCAUCACUUCAUGCUUCCUUACUGUGGAUGCAACGUGACCACCUGUCCCACAUCCCUACAGCUGUACCUUCACCACCGUCAUGGGCUGUAACCUCAAACUGUGAGCAAAAUAAUCAAUCCUUCCUUCUUGAAGUCGGUUUCAUCAAGUACUUUGUCACAACAAGGAACUGAAAUGUCUCACCUUGUCUGGGAAUUCCUGAGUAGAGUAACUUACAGAGUCAUCUCUCUGAUUCACUUACAACAUGUGCAUGUGUGGCUGACAUGAAUAAGAAGGGGCGGCAUGGCAGGGAGUGGGGGUGGGGGAUAGCCUGAGUCAUUGCAAUGGGCUGCAAAGAUCCCACCACCUAGAGUCAUCUGUAAACAUUAAUACAGUCAUCAGUGGAGAGGGUGGGAGUGAUGGUUAGUAUUGAUUGUCAGCUUGACAAGUUCUAGAAUUAUCCAGAAGGUAAAUCUCUGUGACUGAGUUUCUGGAUUGCGUUAACUGGUGAUGGAAGACCCACCCUAAACAUGGGUGCCCUUAUUACACAGGCUUGGAUCCCAGACUGCAGGAAAAGGAGAAAGUCGGAAGAGAACUGAUUCUCAGUGCUCUCUACUUCCUGGACACAGAUGUGAUGUCACUAUCUCAACUUCCUGCCGACAUCCACCAUGACGGACUGCACCUGCAAACUUCGAGCCAACGUAAUCUUCCUCCCUUUUGCUUUUAUCUUGAUAUUUCACCCAGGUGGUGAGAAAGGGACUAAGACAGAGAGGGAGGGAGUCAGGUCACAGAGCCCUAGUCAUUUGAAGACAACCAGACAUAACAGGCUUCAGCAUAGGCCCGGGACAAAGGGAAUCAGAUGGGUAGGUAGUCCCAAAGGCUCCCAGCUCCCAGAAUCACAGACUGGGAGAAGACUGAAUGAAGUAUAGCAUUCACAAUUGGUCAGGUCAACAUCUAAAACACACAGGCCAGAGGGUUCUCUAUUUGCUCAACAAGAGAGCCACCAUUGGGCAGCUGGUUCAAAAUGGCAUGGUGAUCCAGGUGUUUCUGGGAGCUUAGGUUCAUCAUGACUCUCUCUGAGGGGGUUUGGAAGGCUCCACUCAAGGCUCAUCUAGAGAUUCUCUAUACCCUGGGUCUGUCUAUGGAGGGAGACUUCUCUCUCAAGCUGCAAUACUGAGUUCACAUCUCAGACCUAGAGGCCAUGUCUACAAGAAAAGGGAGGAGCACGAAGCAACGGGAGCUACUCAAGCCGGGUUAAGACACAUCUGUGCUGACAAGGGGACUCCAUGGGCAGGCAGGUCACGGCCCCUGAAGAGGGAACACAUGACAGAGCAGGGGACAGACCUAGAAGCAUCAGGUCCAUUUGUCAUUUUUACUCAAUUGUUUUUCAUCUGAGAUGGGAAGAGAAAAUGGAAUUUCCAUUUGAGGAUCCGCCCUCGGUUAAUUGUUAUUUGUAGAACACAAGUAGCAGUCUCAUUGUUCUCAAGCCCACACCAUAAAAGCCAUCCAGGGAAUGCAGGCAAACAGAAGAAACAAGGACUUAUUAAAUGCAUAAUUAAUGUGCAUUAAGAUUAGCACACAUGAAUAGCAAUCAGCUGGGACGCUACAGAGCAUGAACCCUGAACGUUAUCAAUUGAUUAAACUUGUUAUCUGCUGUGGCUUGGGAACAAAUUAGCAAGCCUCCUAGGGCGGGACAGGGAAGGGGACUGGAAGCCUGGGGUGGUGAAGGGGGUGGCUGCUUGGGGAACCUAAAGCCAGCAAAGGUGCUGAGUGUUUUCACGAGCCAUUCUUCAAGAAAAACCACAGCUCCAUUUAGGGUAAAGCGAGCCACACUCUUGCCAAGGUCAUCUCUGAACUAGGGGGAACCACCCAUGGGGGACUCUGAAAUGUCUGCUCACUGACACUAUUAUAGUGUUGUAACAAAGUGAUGGGAGUGGCCUGUAAGGUUGGUCUUCUGUGUGGCUUCUCUAGGGACCAUCAGGUCUGAUAUGUAUCUCAUGACCCCACCCACCACAGCCUUCCCCAGGGAGGAUCACCAGCAGAGAGGUGAUGGGGAAGGAUCUGUCAGAAAAGGACACCCUGACACAGACUCCCCCACCUCCCAGAGGCAGAUCAGCGCCGUGAGACGAGAGGGAGCCAUCUGGGACCCAGACAGUGCCCUUGAUCUUCCCUUUUGUGUAGGGUGCUCAUGGUGUCCCCUCUAAGCCCCUUGUAAUGGUUGAUCUUGUCAACUUGAUGAGAUUUAGAGUCACCAUGGAAACAAACCUCUGGGCGUAUCUGUGACAUAUGUCACAAAACAUGUAAAUAGGUACAGAAGACUUGCCCUGAAUAUCAAUGGCACUAUUCCAUGCGCUGGGGUCCUGAACUGAAUAAAAAGGAGAAAGAUGGAUAGGCACCAAUCGUCACCUCCCUCUGCUUCCUGACUGUGGAGUGCAUGUGACCCCACCCACCACCCUGCCUUCCUCACCAUGAUGGGCUGUAUUCUUUAAGUUCUCAGCCCAAAUCAACCUUCCUCCUUUAACUUGCUUCUGACAAGCAAGGAGAAAAAUAACUAGCCUCCCCUCUAUGGGGACAGACAUGACUAACCUCCCCUCUACAGUGACAGGCAUGCUCCCACAUAGCUAAUGCCACCAGUGAUAAGGGAUGACUCUUUCCUGUUCCCAUUUGCUCUGUUUUGUUUCUCCCACAGUGGGGAUGGAACCAAAUCUUUGUGCAUGCCAGGCAAGAGCUCUAGCACCAAGUUAUAGCUCUAUUCCAAAAAGCAGUACUUCCAGCAGUCAAAAUGACUUUUUAACUGCCUCGUCUUCAAAGACAACAGAAAACAAAUAACAACAACACAUUCUUGCUCUCAAGGCUUUUGCCUUGACCGUGAUGACUUCCUAUGAUGAUCCAUCCACUCUAUACAAUGUUGAUUUGUUUCUUUUAAGACAGGGACUCUCAUUAUGUAGCUAUGGAUGUCCUAGAACCAGCUAUGCAGACCAGGCUAGCAUUGAACUACCAGAGAUCCACCUGCCUCCACCUCCUGUGAGCUGGGAUGAAGGGUUUGUGUCACUGCCGCCAUUUUCUGCAAUGUUGAAAUGGAUAUGUGAGUAAGCUUUGUUUCUUCUGAGAGACGGAAAGCUCGUUCGUUCCAAGUUUUAUAUGGGGUCCAAGUUGAAAUGGUAAUAGUGUGGCUACAUUAGAUGAAGUGUAUUUUGUAAAUAAAUUCCAUUUGCCUU
rnacentral:lncRNA from 1 species